AGGAAUAAGAGGUGCCUACGGGUGUAUGUCAAUAAGGAUAUAGGCAUUGAAAAAGGGAACAUCUACAAUCAUUUUGUAAGUGAUGCAACUGGAGGAGCAAUUGUUAUGCAAACAGAGAUAGGUACUCCAGCUGAUCCCUUCCCAGCAAGGUCCAUUUGGAACUGUAUACCAUGGUCUGUGGGAUGGAUCAGUACUUCUACGCAUCAAUUUUAGCUUCAUGAGUAUUAAAAACUGAAAAGACAUGCUAAGCAGCAGCUUGAGUUUCUUCAGGUGUUUCCUCUUUGUCAUCAGUCUAUUUACAUGUUCCUUGCUCAUGAUGCUCCUCUAG